UCCAUAUCUUAAUUUUAAUUAAUUUUGGUAUGAAGUCUAAUUCCUUUUGCAUUUACAUAUAGGAUCACAACAGUUAUAUGAUGCGGGACCUUCUUCAUAUUACCCUAUGGCGACAGCAGAAGGAACGCAAGGAUCGCACCACCAGCUUCCUGAUAUGGGUCCUUCUUCGUAUCCACCACCACCAGGGGCCACACAGGAUACCUUUGAGGCAAACUUCGAAGACUGGAGUCGGUUAUUUUCUACACCUAACCAGCAGGCGAUCCUACCUUCCAGACACCUGUGGCCACCGGACGUCCAGGUAGAGACGUAGGGCCUCCAGAC